rnacentral:rRNA from 1 species
AGGGGGGCUGCUCCUAGUACGAGAGGACCGGAGUGGACGCAUCACUGGUGUUCGGGUUGUCAUGCCAAUGGCACUGCCCGGUAGCUAAAUGCGGAAGAGAUAAGUGCUGAAAGCAUCUAAGCACGAAGCUUGCCCCGAGAUGAGUUCUCCCUGACCCUUUAAGGGUCCUGAAGGAACGUUGAAGACGACGACGUUGAUAGGCCGGGUGUGUAAGCGCAGCGAUGCGUUGAGCUAACCGGUACUAAUGAACCGUGAGGCUUAACCUU